AGUGGCGAAAGGGCGAGUAAUGCGCUUCUACGUGCCCCGAGGUGGAGGAUAGGGCGGGGAAACUCGCCGUAAUACUCCAUGUGCUCUACGGAGGAAAGCUUUUGCGCCUCGGGAGCGGGGAGCGCCCUAUCAGGUAGUUGGCGGGGUAACGGCCCACCAAGCCGAAGACGGGUAGCGGGUGUGAGAGCACGACUCGCCGCAUCGGGACUGAGACACUGCCCGGACUCCUACGGGAGGCUGCAGCAACGAAUAUUCCGCAAUGCACGAAAGUGUGACGGAGCAAUGCCGCGUGCAGGAUGAAGCGGCUUCGCCGUGUAAACUGCUGUCAGGGGUCAGAAACACUGAUCGACCCCAAAGGAAGAGCCGGCUAACCCUGUGCCAGCAGCCGCGGUAAUACAGGGGGCUCAAGCGUUAAUCGGAAUCACUGGGCUUAAAGGGUGCGCAGGCGGACGCGAAAGUGUCCUGUGAAAUCCCCCGGCUCAACCGGGGAAUUGCGGGGCAAACUACGCGUCUCGAGGCGGGUAGAGGCUGUCGGAACGCUACGUGGAGCGGAGAAAUGCGUAGAGAUGUAGCGGAACGCCAAAGGUGAAGACAGGCAGCUGGGCCCGUCCCGACGCUCAGGCACGAAAGCGUGGGGAGCAAACGGGAUUAGAUACCCCGGUAGUCCACGCCCUAAACGAUGCGCGCUAGAUCGGU
rnacentral:rRNA from 1 species